AGUGGCGCACGGGUGAGUAACCCGUAGGUAAUCUACCUUUGAGUGGGGAAUAACAUCGGGAAACCGAUGCUAAUACCGCAUAAUGCAGCGGCACCUAAUGGUGACAGUUGUUAAAGAUUUAUCGCUUAAAGAGGAGCCUGCGGCAGAUUAGCUAGUUGGUAAGGUAAUGGCUUACCAAGGCUACGAUCUGUAACCGACCUGAGAGGGUGGUCGGUCACACUGACACUGAAUAACGGGUCAGACUCCUACGGGAGGCAGCAGUCGGGAAUUUUGGGCAAUGGGCGAAAGCCUGACCCAGCAACGCCGCGUGAAGGAUGAAGUAUUUCGGUAUGUAAACUUCGUAAGAAUGGGAAGAAUAAAUGACGGUACCAUUUGUAAGGUCCGGCUAACUACGUGCCAGCAGCCGCGGUAAUACGUAGGGACCAAGCGUUGUUCGGAUUUACUGGGCGUAAAGGGUGCGUAGGCGGCGCGUCAAGUCAGUUGUGAAAUCUUAAGGCUUAACCUUAAGCGGUCAACUGAUACUGUCGUGCUAGAGUGCAGAAGGGGCAAUCGGAAUUCUUGGUGUAGCGGUGAAAUGCGUAGAUAUCAAGAGGAACACCUGAGUGAAGACGGUUGCUGGGCUGACACUGACGCUGAG
rnacentral:rRNA from 1 species